rnacentral:lncRNA from 1 species
GUUCUCUUUUGAUGCCCGAUGAUGAUUGUAAUGCAUGCCUACCGUACAUGUAGAACCAUGACUAGAGUUUUUACUUUUUGGACCUUGUGCUUUGGUUGUCAAUUAUUAAUGAUUAUACAUUUGAUCUUAUCCAUAUAAAGUCUUGUUUAUUUCCAUCUUGUAUACCUGCUAGAUGGACAGUCGCGCUUUGCUGCGACGUUGUCAGCGUGAAUGUUUUUUUAGGAUUUUGUGCCGUUUCUGAGACUUGUUAUCUUCUAAUCUCUUUGGUACCGAGUCUUUUAACAGAUAUGAACGGAAAGAUCUUUCUUGAACAAUGCACUAGAGAAUAAUAACAUAGAAAAAUGACACCUGAUCCUACCAAGAGCUCGACAAGCUAAGAAUGAAUAAUAACAACGAAAAAUGACACGCUACACAAGCAAUGGAUCCAGGGGGUUGGACGCAACAAGGGACCAAGCAGCAGUCGCCAAAAGGUUUUGUCUAGCUCACAGCAAACAUGGCUGAAUUCUUUCUCAUCUCUGGUGCAAUGGAUGAGCCUUGAUACCUCUACUAACAAAUCCCAUCUAGCAUACAGUUUUGCAACCAUAAGAUCUGAGUGUGACCACAUAUUCAAGAGUUUAUUUCUGAAUAUGAAUAGCAAGUAUCACUAUUCCAUACGAAUAGCACGGAAAAGCUAUUAUCUAAACAAUGUAGAGCACCUUGGGCUGGCAAUUCAAUUUCCAAAAGGCCACAAGCACCAUUAAUGACGACAUAGUACACUUGUGAGCACCCCUUCCCUGUCAGAAACUUAUUUCCAAUUGCAGUCACCUCAUGGGACAAAAACCAUCAUCUUUGAGUUUUUAGGUUGUUCCAUUGGCAACAAUCUCGCAACUGACCAACCACGUCUUUGAUUUGACCUUAUUCUGAAAAUACCAUGCCAUAGUUAGUGUAGUAAAGUAUUGUUCAGAAAUAAAACUACAACUAUAAUAAUAUCAUAACAAUGUGAAUGACCACCUCAACAAACACGUAACCAAGAAGGCCGGAGACAUGGGUGAUGUCACAGCGAUCUUUAAUUUCUAAGUAAUUUAAAAUACUAUUUAGAAUUGCAUUCAGAGUAGUGCUUUAAAAAAAAGAUAAAGAUAGGAAAUAGCCAUGUUGAAAAUAUAUAAGGAGUAAAGUGAGAAAAACAUAAGUAUAGUCCGAGAGGUAAAAAUAGUUUGCAUUGAGUAGCUUACUUCUACUUCUGGUUAUACAAAUACAUAAGGAAAUCGACGGCCAAUGGAUAUAGAACUCAGCUUCUGAGCAACACUUUAGUAAUCAGAUGCUAGGUACAUGGCAAAACUCUCAUGAACUAUUUCCCGAAAUUGGUCCAAUGUGUAGCUACUAGGGGGGCACUCACCUUCUGAUGGAUGAGACUCACGCACACCUUCAUCUUUUUCUCUUUGGUAUGCUAGUGUCUCACACACUACGAAGUUAUAUUUAUUCUUCUCAAAUGAACUACAAACUUCGUUUUCCUACGGAAGGGAUAAAUCCUUAUAUAGCCUUUCUAGGUCGGUUACUGUUCACAAAACAGUAACUUCUAGAAAUUACUACAACUUGCUCCUUGACCUAUUCCAAAACUGACUUGAACACAACUACUCUUACUUCUAGUAAAUCUCCUACAUAUCCUGGAUACUUCUAGACUAAGCUAACUCCAUCUACUAAGAGCCGACUAGAUUCUUCUAGAUACCACUACUUAAUUUAUGAAAAGAUUAGUACUAACAUUCUCCCUCCUAAUCUUGUCAUAUCAACGAGAUCCACUUAUCCAGAUCACCUCGCACUGCCUCAUGUCUAGCAUCGGCAUCACACCGUGCUUGUCAGCCUCACACUGACUACAUAUAAGAUGGCUUCACACCACCAUUUUGGUUUCACGCCAACCUUUCUACUCAUGACUGCAUCACACCGUAGUGGUCGGCCUCACACCGACGCCUUUGUACGGUCUCCAAAAGCCUCACACCUUUGGGCGUGCACUUUCACCACCCCUCUCACAGGAGUGUUGGCUUCAUCAUCGUCAUUUCCUCAUGACAGCGUCGCGCCGUCGUCUCCUCAUGGCAGCAUCACACCGCUUUCUCCUCCAUGCAGCAUCACACCACAACCAUCCACUAGCGGCUUCACACCGCUAACAUCUACACCUCGCGCCGUCGUCCUCCACCUCUCAUGGAGUCCGCAGCCACCGCCUCAAUAUUGCACCUCGUCACAUUGUCCUCCACCUCGCUUGGAGUCUGCCAGACUACAACCGCCGCCUCAUAUCUGCACCUCGUGAUUUCGUCCUCCACCUCACAUGGAGUCCGCUGCCACCGACUCGGAUCUUGAGGCUCUGAUACCAAUUGUGGCUAGGAGGGAGGCCCUUAACUUCUAAUAGAUGAGCUUCACACUCACCUUCCUCUCUUUUUCUCUUUGGCAUGUUAGUGUCUCACACACUAUGAAGCUAUAUUUAUUCUUCUCAAUACACUACAAUCUUCGUUUUCCUACAUGAGGGAUAAAUCCUUAUAUAGUCUUUCUGAAUCGGUUACUGUUCACAAAACAGUAACUUCUAGAAACUACUACAACCUGCUCCUUGACCUAUUGUAAAACUGACUUGAACACUACUAAUCUUACUUCUAGUAAGAAUCUUACAUACCCUGGAUACUUCUAGACUAAGCUAGCUCCAUCUACUAAGAGCCAACUAGAUUCUUCUAGAUAGUAGAUACCACUACUUAAUUUAUGACAAGAUUAGUACUAACACAAUGGAAGUAUAGUUAAACUAAAACGGAUAGGUCAUGAACAUGUUGAAAUUAAAUGGAUAGGUCAUGCAAAUGUAAAUUAGUAGUCAUGUCCUUGGAUCACUCCAUUUAUAAGGCAAAUAUUCCCACAGCUAUUCUUGUACUGAUUGAGAAAUAAAUUUGUGCAACCCACAGAUUCUCGGGGAAGUUGUUGCUUAAGAUAAGAAAAUCA